AUGGCCCUGGCUCCGCUCCUCCUUGUCCUUUGCAUUUACUUCUCAGGUGCUGGUGCCCAGUUCGUGCUGACUCAGCCGCCCUCGGUGUCAGCGUCUCCCGGAGGAACAGCUACCAUCACCUGUGCCAGGAGCAGCGGCAGCAUCAGUGACUACUAUAUAUCCUGGUACCAGCAGAAGCCUGGCAGGGCUCCGGUGAUGGUUAUAUAUGAGGAUACUGAAAGGCCCUCGGGGAUCCCCAGCCGAUUCUCAGGGUCCAUUGAUGAAUCUGCCAACACGGCCAUGUUAACCAUCAGUGGAGUGCAGCCGGACGAUGAGGCUGAUUAUUACUGUUUCUCGUAUGACAGCAGCAGCAGCAAUCCCACAGUGCUACAGACACAAGGAGAACUGAGACAAAAACCUCCCUCAGGUUUACAGAGUCUAGAUUCUCAAUUCCUAGUGGGCCCUGCUGCCAGGUGGGAGCAGUUCCUCAGUGUCUGA